GACGUAGGGCGCGAGCGUUGUCCGGAUUUAUUGGGCGUAAAGAGCUCGUAGGCGGCUUGUUACGUCGACUGUGAAAACCCACGGCUCAACCGUGUGGUCUGCAGUCGAUACGGGCAGGCUAGAAUUCGGUAGGGGAGACUGGAAUUCCUGGUGUAGCGGUGAAAUGCGCAGAUAUCAGGAGGGAACACCGGUGGCGAAAGGCG
rnacentral:rRNA from 1 species